GUAGGUUGCGAGCGUUGUCCGGAUUUACUGGGCGUAAAGCGCACGCAGGCGGUCUUGAAAGUCGAAUGUGAAAGCUCCCGGCCCAACUGGGAGAGGCCGUUCGAAACUUCGAGACUUGAAGGCGGGAGAGGCAGAUGGAAUUUCCGGUGUAGCGGUAAAAUGCGUAGAUACCGGAAGGAACACCAGUGGCGAAAGCGAUCUGCUGGCCCGCCCUUGACGCUCAGGUGCGAAAGCUAGGGGAGCGACCGGGAUUAGAUACCCCGUUAGUCCUAGCCGUAAACAAUGGGCACUAGGUGUUGUCGGUAUCGACCCCGGCAGUGCCGAAGCUAACGCAUUAAGUGCCCCGCCUGGGGAGUACGGCCGCAAGGCUA
rnacentral:rRNA from 1 species